UGUGAACAGACGCCUCUCGCUACUUGCUUACCGUUGUUAACUGUGUACCUCGCGUGGUCGUUGUUAUUGUGAUUAGUGGUGUUUAGAUUAGUUGGGACGUAACAUACAUGGGGGCUCGUCCGGGAUUGAAUGUCCAUGAGGUGUGCUGCAUUGCUGUAACGAGGUUCAGACGAGGUGCACCUGGGGAAGGAAGUGCUUAAAAGCUCCAGUGCAGCAGCAGAAGGGGAGGCCUCUGGUGUGGGGACUGCUGUGUUUCUGCCUCUCAUCCUAGGAUGGAUAAUUAAACCUUUGAUGUGUUAUAAUAAAUCUUAUGGAUUUGAUGAUUUUAAA